rnacentral:rRNA from 1 species
GACAGAGGUGCCGAGCGUUAGGCGGAAUCACUGGGCUUAAAGCGUGUGUAGGCGGAUCGUUAAGUACCUUGUGAAAUCCCACGGCUCAACCGUGGAACUGCUGGGUAUACUGGCGAUCUUGGGCCAACUAGGGGCAGCUGGAACAAGCGGUGGAGCGGUGAAAUGCGUAGAUAUCGCUUGGAACGCCGAAGGUGAAAACAGGCUGCUGGGGUUGUGCCGACGCUGAGACACGAAAGCCAGGGGAGCGAACGGG